ACAAGAAAAAUAGUGGAUGCCACAUAUUAGGACUCGUCUGAGACAUGAUGCAAGACUUUUUAGAAAGAAUUUGAGAUAAGAGAGUUUAAGACAUGUUUUUGCUCCUGGAGUCUGAAGAAGAUGGAGUUAGCAUUUUCACCACUUCUUUUGUCCGUCAAUUUCAAUGAUCUUCAGUUUGCAGCAGAUGCUGAAGUCAGCACAGAGUGAUAAAGCUAAAAUGAGACUCCCAGGGUAUGGCCCUCGUGCAAUAUGGCUGAUGUCCUUAUUAGAAGAGGAAGAGACACCAGGAAUGCAUGUGCACA